rnacentral:rRNA from 1 species
AUGGCGAUCUGGGAGGAGCUGCACUUCGUGCUGGUGCCGCUGGUGGCGCAGGGCCACAUCAUCCCCAUGGUGGACGUGGCGCGCCUCGUCGCCGCGCGCGGCCCGCGGGUCACCGUGGUCACCACGCCCGUCAACGCCGCGCGCAACAGGGCCACCGUCGACGGCGCCAGGAGGGCCGGUCUCUCCGUCGAGUUCUUCCAGGCCAUAUGGAAGAUCGCCGAGCCGCUGGAGGAGUACCUCCGGGCGCUACCGCGCCGGCCGGUCUGCCUCGUCACCGACGCGUGCAACCCGUGGACGGCGCCGGUGUGCGAACGUCUCGGCAUCCCCAGGCUGGUGAUGCACUGCCCCUCCGUCUACUUCCAGCUCGCCGUGCACCGCCUGUCCAGCCACGGCGUGUACGACCGCGUCGGGGAAGACGUGAUGGCGCCGUUCGAGGUGCCGGACUUCCCGGUGCGGGCCGCCGGCAACAUGGCCACGCUCCGGGGCUUCUUCCAGUACCCCGGCGUGGAGAAGGAGCACCGUGAAGCGCUCGAUGCCGAGGCCACCGCCGACGGCCUGCUGUUCAACACGUUCCGCGGCAUCGAGGGCGCCUUCGUCGACGCGUACGCGGCGGCCCUCGGCAAGAGGACGUGGACCGUCGGGCCGACCUGCGCCUCCAGCAGCAUGGCCGACGACGCCGACGCCAAGGCCGGCCGCGGCAACCGCGCCGACGUCGACGCCGGGCACAUCGUCACGUGGCUCGACGCCCGGCCGCCCGCGUCCGUGCUGUACGUCAGCUUCGGCAGCAUCUCGCAGCUGACGGCUAAGCAGCUCGCCGGGCUCGCGCGCGGCCUCGAGGCGUCCGGGCGGGCGUUCGUGUGGGCCAUCAAGGAGGCCAAGGCGGACGCCGCGGUGACCAUCCUCUCGCACCCCGCGGUGAGCGGCUUCCUCACGCACUGCGGCUGGAACGCGACGCUGGAGGCCGUCUCCUACGGCGUGCCGGCUCUGACGUGGCCCACCAUCGCCGACCAGUUCUGCAGCGAGCAGCUGCUCGUGGACGUGCUCGGCGUGGGCGUCAGGUCCGGCGUCAAGAUCCCCGCCAUGUACCUCCCGAAAGAGGCCGAGGGGGUUCAGGUGACGAGCGGCGACGUGGAGAAGGCGAUCGCGGAGUUGAUGGGCGGCGGGGCGGAGGGGGAGGCGAGGAGGGUCAGGGCCAACGAGGUCGCCGCGGAGGCGAGGGCGGCCAUGGAGGAAGGCGGGUCGUCGCACUCCGACCUGACGGACAUGAUCCGCUAUGUCACGAAGCUGUCGAAGCAGAGAAGCCAAGGGAGGGACGCGAGCUCGACGGCCCCGCCUUCCGAGCUCGGUGAGAAGAACGAACAGGAUGCUGUGCUGUCGGUGCAAAUGGCGCAAGAUAGCAUUUAG